CGCGUAGGCGGCCCGGUAGGCCGGGGGUCGAAGCGGGGGGCUCAACCCCCCGAAGCCCCCGGAACCUCCGCGGCUUGGGUCCGGUAGGGGAGGGUGGAACACCCGGUGUAGCGGUGGAAUGCGCAGAUAUCGGGUGGAACACCAGUGGCGAAAGCGGCUUUCUGGACGACAACUGACGCUGAGGCGCGAAAGCCAGGGGAGCAAACG
rnacentral:rRNA from 1 species